rnacentral:rRNA from 1 species
CAGGGAAUCUUGCACAAUGGACGAAAGUCUGAUGCAGUGACGCCGCGUGAGGGAUGAAGGCCCUAGGGUUGUAAACCUCUUUCAGCAGGGACGAAGCGAAAGUGACGGUACCUGCAGAAGAAGCCCCGGCCAACUACGUGCCAGCAGCCGCGGUAAUACGUAGGGGGCGAGCGUUGUCCGGAUUUAUUGGGCGUAAAGCGCGUGUAGGUGGUUCGUAAAGUCGGGUGUGAAAGUCCAGGGCUCAACCCUGGGAUGCCACUCGAUACUUGCGGACUAGAGGUAGGUAGGGGGAUCUGGAAUUCCUGGUGUAGCGGUGAAAUGCGCAGAUAUCAGGAGGAACACCGGUGGCGAAGGCGGGAUCCUGGGCCUUACCUGACACUGAGACGCGAAAGCUGGGGGAGCGAACAGG